rnacentral:rRNA from 1 species
AUGACCUUACAUGAGUUAACAGCUGGACUCUGUAGCUUCAUUAAAUCAAUUAAUUACACCGAGAUUUUAGAGAAAGUAUGGAUCCGAAGUUCAAAACCAUAUCCAAUUAGCUUGUCUCUCAGAAAACUACAAGGAUUGCUAAAGGAUGAUUUACCCAUGGACCGUGAUUGCUUUAAUUUGAUCGUACGGAAGAUUAUGUUGGAUGACAUCCAAACAUCACAAAAAACAAAGCAACUGAUAGCAAAGCAUUAUCUCGACAUGAAAUUUUGGAUGACUACUGAUUUUGGAAGGCACCCAGAUUUUCGUAAAAAGUUAGAUGUGGAGCAACUAGCAAAUUCUGUUCGUAGUUGGCCUGGUAUCAAAUAUAAUGUUUCAACAUGCAAAUCGAUCCAUAUUCCAGUACAAUGCAUUGAUGAAUUCAUUCUAUUCACAUUGGAUCAAGAUACCAGAACAGUGUACAUUUUGGACCCUACUCCUAUUAAUCCAAUGUACCGAUACAACCCACUCGCAAAAUAUGUGAAAAAAAUUAUAUGGAUUUCCGAACAUUUACCGAAAGCAAUGUCAAAAGCAUGCCCUGGGUCUAGAUGGAACGAGGAUAUUCUCUUAUGGCAUCAUAGAAUCCUAGAUGAUAUUCCAGUUUACAACAGGGAACUGUCUGGUUAUCUUGUUCCCCUAUUCAUGUCCACAUGGGAAGACGAAAGACCACAUUUGCCAUUUUUAAAGGAUGGAUAUGAACUCAGAAAACUAAUUUUGGGCCAACUACUAACAUUCAAGGACAAUGAAUGUGAAGAUAACAUGCCUGCUGGUGUACUGGACUUCAUCAAUUGUAUUAGGAAAAUCCAAAGUUAA